CACGUAGGGUGCGAGCGUUGUCCGGAAUUAUUGGGCGUAAAGAGCUCGUAGGCGGUGUGUCGCGUCGGCCGUGAAAACCUGCAGCUUAACUGUGGGCUUGCGGUCGAUACGGGCAUCACUGGAGUUCGGCAGGGGAGACUGGAAUUCCUGGUGUAGCGGUGAAAUGCGCAGAUAUCAGGAGGAACACCGGUGGCGAAGGCGGAUCUCUGGGCCUGUCCUGACGCUGGAGGCGACGAAAGCUAGGGGAGCGAACAGG
rnacentral:rRNA from 1 species